rnacentral:rRNA from 1 species
AGUGAACGCUGGCGGUAGGCCUAACACAUGCAAGUCGAACGGCAGCACAGUAAGAGCUUGCUCUUACGGGUGGCGAGUGGCGGACGGGUGAGGAAUACAUCGGAAUCUACUUUUUCGUGGGGGAUAACGUAGGGAAACUUACGCUAAUACCGCAUACGACCUACGGGUGAAAGCAGGGGAUCUUCGGACCUUGCGCGAUUGAAUGAGCCGAUGUCGGAUUAGCUAGUUGGCGGGGUAAAGGCCCACCAAGGCGACGAUCCGUAGCUGGUCUGAGAGGAUGAUCAGCCACACUGGAAAUGAGAGACGGUCCAGACUCCUCCGGGCGGCCGGAGUGGGGAAUAUUGGAAAAUGGGCGGAAGCCUGAUCCAGCCAUACCGGGUGGGUGAAGAAGGCCUUCGGGUUGUAAAGCCCUUUUGUUGGGAAAGAAAAGCAGCAGGUUAAUACCCCGCUGUUCUGACGGUACCCAAAGAAUAAGCACCGGCUAACUUCGUG